rnacentral:rRNA from 1 species
UAGGGAAUCUUCCACAAUGGACGCAAGUCUGAUGGAGCAACGCCGCGCGAGUGAAGAAGGGUUUCGGCUCGUAAAGCUCUGUUGGUAGUGAAGAAAGAUAGAGGUAGUAACUGGCCUUUAUUUGACGGUAAUUACUUAGAAAGUCACGGCUAACUACGUGCCAGCAGCCGCGGUAAUACGUAGGUGGCAAGCGUUGUCCGGAUUUAUUGGGCGUAAAGCGAGUGCAGGCGGUUCAAUAAGUCUGAUGUGAAAGCCUUCGGCUCAACCGGAGAAUUGCAUCAGAAACUGUUGAACUUGAGUGCAGAAGAGGAGAGUGGAACUCCAUGUGUAGCGGUGGAAUGCGUAGAUAUAUGGAAGAACACCAGUGGCGAAGGCGGCUCUCUGGUCUGCAACUGACGCUGAGGCUCGAAAGCAUGGGUAGCGAACAGGAUUAGAUACCCUGGUAGUCCAUGCCGUAAACGAUGAGUGCUAAGUGUUGGGAGGUUUCCGCCUCUCAGUGCUGCAGCUAACGCAUUAAGCACUCCGCCUGGGGAGUACGACCGCAAGGUUG